CAAGUCGAGCGGCAGCGGGAAAGUAGCUUGCUACUUUUGCCGGCGAGCGGCGGACGGGUGAGUAAUGCCUGGGAAAUUGCCCAGUCGAGGGGGAUAACAGUUGGAAACGACUGCUAAUACCGCAUACGCCCUACGGGGGAAAGCAGGGGACCUUCGGGCCUUGCGCGAUUGGAUAUGCCCAGGUGGGAUUAGCUUGUUGGUGAGGUAAUGGCUCACCAAGGCGACGAUCCCUAGCUGGUCUGAGAGGAUGAUCAGCCACACUGGAACUGAGACACGGUCCAGACUCCUACGGGAGGCAGCAGUGAGGAAUCUUGCGCAAUGGGGGAAACCCUGACGCAGCAACGCCGCGUGAGUGAGGAAGGUCUUCGGAUCGUAAAGCUCUGUCGGAUGGAAAGAACCGCAUAGGGGUAAAUAGCCCCUAUGUCUGACGGUACCAUCAAAGGAAGCACCGGCUAACUCCGUGCCAGCAGCCGCGGUAAUACGGGGGGUGCAAGCGUUGUUCGGAAUUAUUGGGCGUAAAGAGCGUGUAGGCGGCCUGAUGUGUCAGAUGUGAAAGCCCUGGGCUUAACCCAGGAAGUGCAUUUGAAACUGUCAGGCUUGAGUAGGGGAGAGGGAAGUGGAAUUCCUGGUGUAGAGGUGAAAUUCGUAGAUAUCAGGAGGAACACCGGUGGCGAAGGCGACUUCCUGGCCCUAUACUGACGCUGAGACGCGAGAGCGUGGGUAGCAAACAGGAUUAGAUACCCUGGUAGUCCACGCCGUAAACGAUGUUCACUAGGUGUUGGG
rnacentral:rRNA from 1 species